UGUGAAGGAAAGGUGAAAAGGACCCCGGGAGGGGAGUGAAAGAGAACCUGAAACCUUGUGCCUACAAGCACAUAGAGCCCGUCAAAGGGUGAUAUGGUACUUUUUGUAGAACGGUCCGGCGAGCGAUUGUACGUUGCGAGCUUAAGGUCUUAAGGACUGGAGGCGUAGCGAGAGCGAGUCUAAACAGGGCGUUUAGUAGCGUGCAAUGGGCCCGAAACCGGGUGACCUACCCAUGAUCAGGCUGAAGUGAAAGUAAAAUUUCAUGGAGGGCCGAACCGACCUCCGUUGAAAAGGCGGCGGAUGAAUUGUGGGUAGCGGAGAAAUUCCAAUCGAACUCGGAGAUAGCUGGUUCUCCCCGAAAUAGCUUUAGGGCUAGCCUCAUGUUAGAUAUCCGGAGGUAAAGCACUGAAUGGCCUAGCGUCCGAGAGGAUAGCGAAGCCUAUCAAACUAAGAAUGCCGGAAUAUUGAUGCAUGGGAGUCAGACAGUGUGAGAUAAAUCUCAUUGUCAAAAGGGAAACAGCCCAGAUCUACAGCUAAGGUCCCAAAUUGUAUCUAAGUGGAAAACGAUGUGGAAAUACGCAGACAACCAGGAUGUUGGCUCAGAAGCAGCCACUCAUUUAAAGAGUGCGUAAUAGCUCACUGGUCGAGCGUCUCUGCGCGGAAAAUUUAACGGGGCUAAGAUACAAACCGAAGCUUAGGCUGCAUAUGUAAAUAUGCGGGGUAGGGGAGCGUUGUGUAAGCGGAGAAACAGUAGCGAAAGCGGCUGUGGAGUUUACAGAAGUGAGAAUGCCGGAAUGAGUAGCGCGAAUGAUGUGAGAAUCAUCAUGGCCGGAAACCUCAGGUUUUUGGAGGAAGGUUCGUCCGCUCCAAGUUAGGCGGGAGCUAAGGUCAGGCCGAAAGGCGUAGCCGAUGCACAGACGGUAGAGAUUCCGUCCCCACCGAAAGAUUUAAGCGCAGGGACACUUUUAGAAGGUCGGAGCCAGGUGUUGGUUCUGGUAGUGAUCGAGGGAAAUAUAGUACCGAAGUCCGGCUGGAUAAGAGGCGAGAAAAGCUGUGUGUAUAUCUAAGGUGCCCGUACCGCAAACCGACACAGGUAGGUAGGAAGAAGAUUCUAAGGCCAACGGGAGAAGGGUUGUUAAGGAACUCGGCAAAUUGACCCCGUAACUUCGGGAGAAGGGGUGCUCCAGAGAUGGAGCCGCAGAGAAUCGGCCCAAGCAACUGUUUACCAAAAACACAGGUUUGUGCUAAAUCGAAAGAUGACGUAUACGAGCUGACGCCUGCCCGGUGCUGGAAGGUUAAGAGGAGAUGUGCAAGCAUUGAAUCGAAGCCCCAGUGAACGGCGGCCGUAACUAUAACGGUCCUAAGGUAGCGAAAUUCCUUGUCAGGUAAG
rnacentral:rRNA from 1 species